rnacentral:rRNA from 1 species
CAGUCGCCGCGGUAAUACGAAGGGUGCAAGCGUUACUCAGAAUUACUGGGCGUAAAGCGUGCGUAGGUGGUGGUUUAAGUCUGCUGUGAAAUCCCCGGGCUCAACCUGGGAAUGGCAGUGGAUACUGGCUCGCUAGAGUGUGUCAGAGGAUGGUGGAAUUCCCGGUGUAGCGGUGAAAUGCGUAGAGAUCGGGAGGAACAUCAGUGGCGAAGGCGGCCAUCUGGGACAACACUGACGCUGAGGCACGAAAGCGUGGGGAGCAAACAGGAUUAGAUACCCCGGUAGUCCCUGUCUCUUAUAC